GAUGAACGCUGGCGGCGUGCUUAACACAUGCAAGUCGAACGGAAAGGCUCCUGCUUGCAGGGGUACUCGAGUGGCGAACGGGUGAGUAACACGUGGGUGAUCUGCCCUGCACUUCGGGAUAGGCCUGGGAAACUGGGUCUAAUACCGGAUAGGACCACAUUUUGGAUGGUGUGGUGGAAAGUUUUUCGGUGUGGGAUGAGCUCGCGGCCUAUCAGCUUGUUGGUGGGGUAAUGGCCUACCAAGGCGUCGACGGGUAGCCGGCCUGAGAGGGUGCACGGCCACAUUGGGACUGAGAUACGGCCCAGACUCCUACGGGAGGCAGCAGUGGGGAAUAUUGCACAAUGGGCGCAAGCCUGAUGCAGCGACGCCGCGUGGGGGAUGACGGCCUUCGGGUUGUAAACUCCUUUCGCUAGGGACGAAGCGCAAGUGACGGUACCUGGAGAAGAAGCACCGGCUAACUACGUG
rnacentral:rRNA from 1 species